UCUUCAAAGAAAGAAAUCUAAAGUAUGUGCAGGCGGGCUCGCCGUCGGGCCGCAUCAAGGCCGUCGGGAAGGGGGCCGGCGGGUGGGAAAUGAGAAAUUAGGGUUUGGGAGAGGAGGAAGGGAACUGUAGCUACAUGGGAGGGAUAUUUUUUGUUUUAAUUUUUUUUUUCAAGUGUAUUUUUUUUAGUCCAAGUGUCAAUAUUUUAAUCCAAAUGUCAUUUUCCGAUGUCCAUAUUGAAGUAAAUCGAUGACCGAACAUAAAUUAGAAGAAAACAAAAAGUUAUAGAUUCUGAAGAAAUAUUAAAGAAUAGGUGCAAUUUCAGAAUUCAUGACUUUUUUUUUUAGAUUUAC
rnacentral:lncRNA from 1 species